CUAUCAUCAGAUACUAAACAGCAGAGUGACCUUGCUGCUGAAAACUAUAUGGCCUUUGCUGAUUGAUCUGUAGCUGCCUAGUGUUACUUUUUAAUUAUCCAGUAGUCCUGUGUUCCAGGAGCUAUCAUUUGACUCAUUGUGUCUAAUAUUGACCCAGAUGCUCUGAAUUGCCAGUCUUGAUAAAGGUCCUAU